ensembl:snoRNA
GGGACCAGUAAUGAUGACUGGUGACAUGUAAGUCACGAUGAUGAAUAAUACAUGUGUGGAACUAUGAGGUUCAA